CCAGGUGACACCAGGCGACAGCCAUGGCACCGUGCCAGGUCUGGGUGACUUCAGGUGACAUCCAGGUGACAUUGGGACACCAAGCCAGGU